ncrna:Yersinia enterocolitica subsp. enterocolitica 8081 EFASI RNA
UCGACACGACAUUGAUGGCGACGUCAGUAGCACUGGCGUGUGGAGGUAGACCGAUAAAAAUCGGCCCGGCGUAAGCUGCAAACAGGUCUGAGACCUGGGGAACCUCGCAAGAACUCAACAUUUCGCCGCCCUGAUGCAUAAAUGUUUGUCG